GCUCUUGCUAGGGCCAGUGUCAACCCAAAAA
rnacentral:sRNA from 1 species